UACGAAGGGGGCUAGCGUUGCUCGGAAUCACUGGGCGUAAAGCGCACGUAGGCGGAUCUUUAAGUCAGAGGUGAAAUCCCGAGGCUCAACCUCGGAACUGCCUUUGAUACUGGGGAUCUCGAGUCCGGGAGAGGUGAGUGGAACUGCGAGUGUAGAGGUGAAAUUCGUAGAUAUUCGCAAGAACACCAGUGGCGAAGGCGGCUCACUGGCCCGGAACUGACGCUGAGGUGCGAAAGCGUGGGGAGCAAACAGGG
rnacentral:rRNA from 1 species